GUACAGGGAGCUGUUCUGAUUGUGCUACUGAGACUGUUCUUCCAGUGAGUGAAAUGUUUUCAUAAAAAUGUUACCAUUGUUGUUGAAAGAGGAAAUCAGCUGCAAUCAAAGGGGUCAGAAAUGAGGAAUGGCUAUCGAUUGAGCUAUGGUGUGCAGUCCUAAAAUACUCCUAUUUGGUGACACUGCAUCUGCUCCAGAUUGCAGUGUAAUCGUGGGCAUUGUGGAUGGCACAGUGGUGAAAAUGGGAACACACACAGAGCUGAUGGGGAAAAAGGAGCCAGAUUAUUCACUUCCAACCUCACAGGAGCUGAUCACAGAGCACAUGCAUUUGAACACCCCAAAAAAUUAUAUUAAAGCACAAAGAGUGAAGAAACAAAAGGCUUGAGCUGUGGAGUUCGAAGUUUGCCCUGCAGCUUUCCAAAGAUUGAAAAUUCUCGGCUCUUGCAUGACAAGGUCAGCCAACUACAUAGACAAGUGCCAAACUUCAGCGUUCCCCAGUGUGUAAAUGUAUUAGGAGACUGGACUUUUAAUUAGCACUGUUCCAGGAAGAGCAAAGAAUCAGUGAGAAGGAAGUAGACAAGAUGCAUCAAUUAAUGUAUUUCAACUGAACUGUUAUAGAAACCUCGGACAAAUGACAGAGAUUGAACAAAUAAUUGCGAACAGCAAAUCUGCCCAUACGGUUUCCUUUCUCAAGAAUUGAAGCAACUUAAAUUCAGAAAAGAACAGGAGUGAGAAAAGGGAAGAAAAUGAUAUGGAAAAAUAAGAACAUUUUGUUUUGAUAUUUUCAAACUGAAAUCUUCUCUUUCAAAGCACUAUCUUCAGUUCUAAAUGAACUUGAACAUUACAAACAGCAAUCAAAGAAGGCUGAAUAACUCAGAAAAGGAAAGGAGAGCACUUCUCUGAUUUGAACCAACUUUGGACUGUGUUUUGUUUGCAUAGUUUGUGGUUCAGCUGUCAGACAGAAAAUUGCCAUGAUUUUAAUGGCAUUAAUUCUGUAUUCCAGUCUGAACCAAAACCAGAUGACAUAAAAUCCAAGGAUGGGCUGAUUUUCAGAGAUUGCUGUUAAAAUGCAAACCAGAAUGAGAGAAGAGAAAUUACAAAAUGUCAGUGUCCUCACAAGGGGAGCGUGAUUCUGCCCUCCAAACAUAUCCCUUCCAGCUCUGUGUGACUAUAGCAAUUCUGUGCACAGACUGAUGACGCACUCAGCCCAGGAGAAUGUUCAGAAUAAAGUAU
rnacentral:lncRNA from 7 species